UACGGGGGGGGGCAAGCGUUUGUUCGGAAUUACUGGGCGUAAAGGGCUCGUAGGCGGCCAACUAAGUCAUACGUGAAAUCCCUCGGCUUAACCGGGGAACUGCGUCUGAUACUGGAUGGCUUGAGUUCGGGAGAGGGAUGCGGAAUUCCAGGUGUAGCGGUGAAAUGCGUAGAUAUCUGGAGGAACACCGGUGGCGAAGGCGGCAUCCUGGACCAUUACUGACGCUGAGGCGCGAAAGCGUGGGGAGCAAACAGGG
rnacentral:rRNA from 1 species